rnacentral:sRNA from 1 species
UGCAACCGUUGUAGGACCUGAUGCAGUC